UGGAACAACAGGUAGCUGUGGUGUCAUGAU
rnacentral:piRNA from 1 species